GGAUUGACGCUGAGGGAGGCUGGACUGAGAGUCCAGCCAAAUCUCAGCAGAUUCACCGUGGCAUCUGUCAUAAGGGCAUUCAGACUGGAAAACAGCUUUUUCCAAGACUUCAGCAAAGUGAAAAUCUGCAAGUCAAUUCGACCUGGUAGCAAAGCAGGCGAUCCUACGGUGCAUGACCUCCGAGCAGUCAGAUGCAAUGUGGACGGCAGUAUGGAGUUCAAAUUACUCCACUCCGACAACUGGCAACCCUUCACAUCCCCAUCCCUGAGGAAAGUGUGUGUCAGCGUGGCCCCACUCUAUACAUCCCCCCCAGAAAAUUAAAGCACUGAAGUUCAAGCACCUUCAAGAACUCAAACAUGUCUUACCGAAGGACUUUCAGCCAUUUUAUGAUGCACUUGACCAUGAGUGAUGGUCAGCUCAAAUAGCACAAACAAUAACAUACACACCACUAUUAAACAUUAUUUAUUUAUUUAUUGAAAAAAGCCAGUGUGGUUUUUCUGACUACCUAUAUCAAUGUCUUAAUGAAAUGUUUUAUUUCUUGAGUAUUGACAAGUAAUUGUUUAUGUGCAUGCUUGAAAAUGACUUGGUAUUAUCUGUUGAACUCUUGGAAUUCCUAUCUGCCAAUCUGACAGGAAAGACA
ensembl:lncRNA